GCGUGGUACAGUCCUCAUCAAUUUGCCAAUCAAGCUGUCUGAGAAUACAAAGUGAUGGGGCUGUCAGUAGCGGUUCAACCAUAAGCAGUUCUAAACUAAGCAAUUUGGAAAUUUAAAUAGUUAUAAUGACCAAGAUUCUCUGCGUUGGGCCCUUAAUUACUGGAAUGUCAGUUCAGCUGAAAAUUGCCUUUCCCAGAGGCCGAUCCGCCUCCUUGAGCAGUCCUGAAACUUCAUUCAACUGACACGGUUACAAAGUUUCGGCAUCAUAUCUCUACUAGCUUUGAUUCCCUCCUAUUUUAAGCAACCAUACGUGGAAUGAAAGACAAGCACACAUUUCUUAGGCAACCAAAGGCAUUUAACUUUUGGCUGUGUGACACAGGAUGAGAGAUGUACCCAACCUCCCAACUUCUCGCCUGAACUCAUGCUUCCUUCAAGGCUGACAUUUCUCCUUCUGCCAAGUCCAAUCAAAACCCUAUCUCACAACUAUCCAGAAAACUGCAUUUACAACCAGUCCAAGGCUCCCUAGCCAGUGCCAGCUCUUCACACGUGUUGGAGUGGUUGGUAGGAAGGAGAACGGCCUUAUGAAGCACACCUGCUUCUAUUUACUGGACAAGAGCCUGUUCUCAUUUCUGAGUCAGGCAUAACACUUGUGAAGAUGCUAGAAGAAUUAUUCCUGUGUAUGCUAACUCCAAGAGCAAAAUAUGUUCCCUGCUAUUCAUGCAAAAUGUAAACCCUUUCUUUUGCCUUCAGGAUAAUCUACCACCAGCUCCAAACUUGCACAGUCCGUUGAUUUAAAUCACAACUCUGUAGGGUAAAAUUUGGCUUACGAUGCCCUGUACUAAUUUAGGAGGAAAAGAGGGGCCUCGCUCAUGAAAUAUUUCAGGUAUAAUCAGCAAAUUGUGGCUACAGAUGCAAUACAGGAGCAUUUUGGCUUGGUAACCAAGGCAACACUUCUUGCUUCAAGACACACUUUUCUGUUGAUAAUCUAUUGUAAUGCCAGUAAUUGCAGCUGACAAGGCUCUGUUUGUUGUGAGAGAUAAUUAGCACUUGAAAUAAAGUAACAGAUUUAAAUAAA